rnacentral:misc_RNA from 1 species
GGAAGACGAAAAUUCUAUUUAAUGCAGAAAGAUCCAUUCACAUCAUGAUUGUUUUCUCUUUGGACUGAGAAUUCAGAGCUCUCUUGCCUUCUUAUAUUUCAAAGCCACAUCUCUCUCUCUCUGCCUACCAAACCCGUUAAAAAAUUGCAAAGUUUUUUGCCAAGAAUAUUUGCUAUUUUGCCCCCAUAGUUAGCUCCGUAGAACGUAGUGAUCUUUUUUGUUUUUAGCUGUGAUUGUGAUUUGUGAUUACUUUAUUUGUUUAAAUCCUACGUGAUCUGGGUUAUUUCACCUUUUGACAUAGAGAAAGAGUCGUAAAAGACUUGCUUUUUAUUUAUUUCUUGUGAGAUUCUCUUCCUUUUUGAUCUACAUCUUCACGGGUUGGUUGUUUUCAGAUUGUUUUGUUUGAUUUUGUGACAUACCCUUUAGAACUUUUUGGAUUUUUAACUUGGAAAAAUCUUUGUUUUCUGCAUCAUGAUUUGCACCGUUAAGCAAUCUGCUAUAGCACCCACAAUCAAUGGAUCUGACAAGAUUUUUCUAAGAAAAAGCCCAUUAACGAUACCGAGAUCUUUGUGUCUGCCGUCUCUUCCAACCCGGAAGAACCCAAGACCUGUUCUCUGUGUGUCAAAACCUCUACAUGUUUCCUCAAUUGAGUCCUUUGCAGUAUCAAAACCCCAAAAGGAAUCCUUGAUCACAUGCAAGGCCUACGAGGCAGACCGAUCGCAGCCAAUAGAGGCUGAAGGGGCGAAAUCGGAGGUUGCGAGGAAGGUCAAGAUUGGGAUUUACUUUGCCACAUGGUGGGCUUUGAACGUGGUGUUCAAUAUAUACAACAAGAAGGUGUUGAAUGCGUUUCCAUAUCCGUGGCUGACCUCUACACUUUCUCUAGCUUGUGGAUCUCUCAUCAUGCUAGUUUCCUGGGCUACAAGGAUUGCCGAGGCACCUAAAACUGAUUUUGAGUUUUGGAAGACUCUGUUGCCUGUUGCUGUGGCACAUACAAUUGGGCAUGUAGCUGCAACAGUAAGCAUGUCAAAGGUUGCUGUUUCAUUUACCCAUAUCAUUAAGAGUGGCGAGCCUGCUUUCAGUGUAUUGGUUUCAAGGCUUCUCUUGGGUGAGACCUUCCCUGCUGGGGUUUACAUGUCCCUUAUUCCAAUUAUUGGUGGUUGUGCACUUGCUGCUGUUACGGAGCUCAACUUCAACAUGAUUGGUUUUAUGGGAGCCAUGAUCUCCAACUUGGCAUUUGUUUUCCGGAACAUAUUUUCAAAGAGAGGCAUGAAAGGGAAAUCUGUUAGCGGAAUGAACUACUAUGCAUGUCUCUCUAUUUUGUCUCUGUUGAUUCUUACACCCUUUGCUAUUGCUGUGGAGGGACCGCAGAUGUGGGCAGCAGGAUGGCAAACAGCCGUCUCUCAGAUUGGACCGCAUUUUGUUUGGUGGGUGGCAGCCCAAAGUGUGUUCUAUCAUCUGUACAACCAGGUUUCAUACAUGUCGUUGGAUGAGAUCUCUCCUUUGACCUUUAGCAUUGGUAACACCAUGAAACGUAUCUCUGUAAUAGUCUCCUCCAUUAUCAUUUUCCACACGCCUGUCCAGCCAGUCAAUGCUCUUGGAGCUGCCAUCGCAAUCCUCGGAACCUUCUUGUAUUCCCAGGCAAAGCAGUGAUGACGCUUGGGGCGGGGAAUUAAGAUUCAUCAUGUAACAUAAAUGAUGAGAGACAUGAAGAAGGUUCAGCUUAGGGUUCAUAGUUGCUCUGUUUUGAAGAUGAAGGAUGGCUGGUUUUUGCUUGGAUGACCCAGCAGGCAUCUUACUGUAGAUAAUAAUAAUAAAAAAUUAAUAAUUGUGAUUAUGAGCAACAUUUGCUCUUAUAAAAUGUUUAUUACUGAGGUUUUUCAUACUUUAGUGAGGCUGAGGAGAAAAUGUUACAAUAAAACUUGGAUAAUGUCCAAAUCUUGUCUGUUUCAAAGACAAACAUUAACAACAUUUUGAAUACUAAGAAAUUCAUAUUUCCU